UCUGUCAUUAAUGUGAUUUAUGACAGAUUCUUUUCAGUUGUAAUUUAUAUUUAUUACUCUGUUUUCGUCUUUCGCGUACCUUUUUCUUUCAAUUCCUUAGUCUUAUUUGCCUCUUGGCGAGUUCAAAAGGGACUUGCACAGCUGUCAGGACACGUAACAAAAUUGCGAACACACCGUGAUCCCCAGGGUGAUUAUGAAGAUGAUUUUGGGAAGACAUUUUCCCCAGUUAAGGGAAUUAAGUUAAUAGCCGUCCGCAAACAUAAUUCAUAGACCAAAAUGGGGCCAUAGAAACCAAUUAAGAGUUACGCACAACUAAGGCAGAAGUGGCAAGUGGCGCAACAAAUUCAUUUGAAAUGUAAAUGAGAAAAUCGUCUAAUUGAAAACUUUUGCGUCUUGAUGCUAUUAUCAGGCAUCAGCAGACUUUGUACUUGGUGAAGGCUUAAAGUGUUAACUCGGCAGCUGCCAAGGCUGGAGGAGGCAUUAAUCUAACUCGAAGGCAUCGAGCAAAGACGGUGACGUUUGACGGGCGAAUACGUAAGAGGAUGGGGAAGGGACUGACUUCAAGACGCGCUUUUAAUUAGGUUUCACAAGGAGCAUCAACACAGAGCAUAACCAGGAGAAGCAACAGUCCCUUUCUCCAUAUCUCUCUAUGCUCUCUCUUCUCUAUCUGCUACUCGUUUCGUUUUCUCAAUGUAAAUGUACGUACAUAUAUAUAUGUAUAUGUAAUUUCCCUUUUGGCCAAAUAGAUUUACAAAUGAAAGUUAAA